GACGAACGCUGGCGGCGUGCCUAACACAUGCAAGUCGAACGGAAAGGCCCUGCUUUCGUGGGGUGCUCGAGUGGCGAACGGGUGAGUAACACGUGAGUAACCUGCCCAUGACUUUGGGAUAACUUCAGGAAACUGGGGAUAAUACCGGAUAGGAGCGCCUGCUGCAUGGUGGGGGUUGGAAAGUUUCGGCGGUUAGGGAUGGACGCGCGGGUUAUCAGCUUGUUGGUGGAGUAGUGGCUUACCAAGGCUUUGACGGGUAGCCGGCCUGAGAGGGGGGCCAGGGACAUUGGGACUGAGGGACGGCGCAGUCGGGAACAGUGGACAACAGUGGGAAGUCUUGCACAGUGGUCGGGAGCGUGUUACAGCGGCGCCGCGAGCGGAAAGACGGCCUUGGGGGUGUAAACCGCUGUAGCCUGAGACGAAGCGGUAUUGACGGUAAUAACUAAAGAAGCACCGGCUAACUACGUG
rnacentral:rRNA from 1 species